GACUUGAGGUAAAAGCUGCCGCAGCAAGACGCUCCGACGUGAGGAGUUCAUUCUUGCUAUAUAAAAGCCAUGGCUGUGAAACCCAUCAUUCCUGCAAAACAUAACCGUCUCAGGUCUGAGCAGCAAAAAGAAGCCCAAAAAUAUCAAAGUGGAAGGAAGAGGAGCUCCAAAGACUUUUACCCUCCUCUGAUGGCCUUUAUAAGGAGCAGGCUGCAUGUGGUGGAAACAAAGUUUGGUCGUGGAGACAUUUCUGACACCAGUCAUGUGACCGGGAAGCAGGUGUUUGGUUCAGCUUUCAGUAAGAGGCACUGAGGGAGACAACACCCAGACUGUUUCCAUCCAUCCAUCCAUCCAUCCAUCCAUCCAUCCAUCUUCUACUGCUGUUUUGGAUUUUGGCUCCAGACGUCAUCAUGACAGGAACGUCUCACCUGAAAGCAGAAAAACUACCUCUAAACACUCCAGGACUGACUGACUCCGGCGGCCUCAGUCUCCGUCACUCUCAAAAUAAACUGUGAAAGAAA